rnacentral:lncRNA from 1 species
UGGAAAGGAAAAGAUAUAAGCUUCUCAGAGUUUUCAUAUCGAUUUCACCGCCGUGGCAUGAACUCUGAUCAGUCACCCACCAUAAUAGUGAAAUCUCAGCUUUCCUUGUCUCAUAUCGACAUAAGCUCACUUGGAUGAAGUUCCACUUCAUAUGAACUUCAAGAUCAUGUCGACUAUGACAUUAUGUCGGCAUCUUUUUAAAUCAAUUUGAAAACCUGUGAGAUGCUAGAAAAAAAGGUACUGAGGAGGUAGGUUUCCUUUAUUCAUCCAAACUUCAAUCAACGCCAAGUGAUAUAUUUAUAGAAAUAAAUAUAUUCUAAGCUCUGUUAUCUCUUAUAAAUUGCACACUAUUCAAUGAUUUCACAGAUCCUUGCAUCUUACUAGUAGACUAGUAGUCAAAAUAAAACUCAAUCUUAUCAUGUUGUUAUGUUAUUAUUCUAAGCAUUAUAUGAGAAUUAUAAAUCAUUUCGUCGAGUCUAAUAUUUAAUGGGUUGAAUUCCAUAAUCUCCAUUCAAAUCUUAGACCUUUGCAUUGAAAAAUUAACUCAAUUUUGCUUAUAUGAUUUAUGGGACUGCACAAGCCUUGUAGAGAGAUUGCAUUUCUGGAGAAAGCAAUGGGAUCAAAAAUCAAAUACACUACUAACAAACUUCAAGUUCGGAUGUCAUACUACUUUUGAAACCUCUAUGCUCUCACCA